rnacentral:miRNA from 10 species
CUUGUCACACAUUCGUCACAGUG